UUAACAUGUACAAGUCUGUUAUAUUGACAAAACGUUAUAGUCCAUUGAUCUAGGCUGAAUUUAAGUCACAAAAAAUAGUGAUAUGAUCUGAACGAUAUAUAUUUUCAAGGUGGUUCUUGUGAAUGCAGUUUGCAUGAAUUAUUGAUGUUAUAAUAUUAAGUAUAUUAUUGAGAAUUGUUUUAUGUAAAGAGAUAUGAUAAAGAUCAUAUUUCAAUUUGCACACAGCUUUUAUAUUAUAUAUUUUAAGUCAUAAAAGUAAAAUGACAAUACGGAAAAGACGUGUGCAAUUAAGCCUGCAAAGAAUGCUGUCUAUCCACUGAUGAAAACAGAAAAUAAAUAUGCUGUCUAUCCAUACGUGAAAAUAUAAAAUAAAUAAAUGUCAAUCCAGAGGUGAAAAUAUAAAAUAAAUAUACUUUCCAUCCAGAGGUGAAAAUAUAAAAUAAAUAUUCUGUCCAUCGAGAGGUGAGAACUAAAUAUGCUGUCUAUCCAGAGGUGAAAAUAUAAAAUAAAUAUAUGUCUAUCCAGAGGUGAAAAUAUAAAAUAAAUAUACUGUCCAUCCAGAGGUGAGAACUAAAUAUGCUGUCUAUCCAGAGGUGAAAAUAUAAAAUAAAUAUUCUGUCCAUCCA